AUUGAACGCUGGCGGCAUGCUUUACACAUGCAAGUCGAACGGCAGCGCGGGCUUCGGCCUGGCGGCGAGUGGCGAACGGGUGAGUAAUACAUCGGAACGUGCCCAGUAGUGGGGGAUAGCUCGGCGAAAGCCGGAUUAAUACCGCAUACGACCUGAGGGUGAAAGCGGGGGAUCUUCGGACCUCGCGCUAUUGGAGCGGCCGAUGGCAGAUUAGCUAGUUGGUGGGGUAAAGGCCUACCAAGGCGACGAUCUGUAGCUGGUCUGAGAGGACGACCAGCCACACUGGAACUGAGACACGGCCCAGACUCCUACGGGAGGCAGCAGUGGGGAAUUUUGGACAAUGGGCGAAAGCCUGAUCCAGCAAUGCCGCGUGUGUGAUGAAGGCCUUCGGGUUGUAAAGCACUUUUGGCGGGAACGAAAAGGACUGUGCCAAUACCACGGUUCGAUGACGUUACCCGCAGAAUAAGCACCGGCUAACUACGUG
rnacentral:rRNA from 1 species